rnacentral:rRNA from 1 species
GUGGAUUAGAUACCCUAGUAGUCCUGGCCCUAAACGAUGUCCACUAGAUCGUAGAACUUUUGACGGUUUUAUGGUCGAAGUAAAAAUGUUAAGUGGACCGCCUGGGAAGUACGGUCGCAAGGCUAAAACUCAAAGGAAUUGACGGGGGCUCACACAAGCGGUGGAGCAUGUGGUUCAAUUCGAAGCAACGCGCAGAACCUUACCUGGGUUUGACAUCCUUGGAUUAUCUCCAUGAAAGUGGAGUAGGCCCUUCGGGGUACAACUUGGACAGGUGCUGCACGGCCGUCGUCAACU